GUCUUUUGCUUCUUCUCUUUUUCCAGAAACCGAACGUAUACGAAGCUUAGGGCAAGUGUACAACUUGCAUUUUAGACAUCUUCUUGCUUGGGUUUCUCAACCUUAAGAACUCAGCCCUAUCCUUUUUUUCCUUGUGAGAAGCUUUUGUUAGUGAGAUACUUCUCCCCUUCUCCUUCGACCCUAGGGCUGUCUUACAAGGAUUUGAAGUGGUUUUCCAAAUAUUCAAGUUGCAAGUUGAUUCCUUGUGUGGUGGAGGUUAAACAAGGUUGUCGUACGUCGACUUGAAUCCUGAACAGUGAAUCAGUGGAUUGCCCUUGGUCCUGGACCAAGUGGAUUGAGGCAUUCUGCUGUGUACCAAGUUGAGGAAUAAGCUGUUGCGGAGCUAAGGGAAAGAACAAAUUAAGGAGGUAGCAGUGGAGCUGGAGCAGCGGGCAAGAGGCCCGCAGAGUGAUCAAUGGAGUGAUUUAGUAUUUUGCAUUUUGUUGGCCAUGUGGCCUAGGCUAGACUUAGGGCAUGAACAUCUCAUAUGUAUGUAGGAUGAGUUUCAUUAGCAUAUUUGUUCAUGUCAUUUUGCCUAAGUCUAGUAGUUUAUGUUAUUCAGUUUAUGUUGUAAUUUGUAUUUAAGUUGUAAUAUUGGAAGAUUGUAAGUUAAAGUUUAAGUUUUAAGUUGUAAAUUGUAAAGCAAAUAUUGUAAUUGUACUUGAUGC